rnacentral:tRNA from 1 species
GGGGUUGUGGCUCAGUGGUGGAGCGCUCACCUAGCAUGUGUGAGGCACUGGGUUCGAUCCUCAGCACCACG